ensembl:lncRNA
CAUUUCCCCCUCACGUCCAUAAGCCGACGUUGAGGGUACCCCCUAUUCGUCGCUUGACAAAGUAGAGGGUCGUCUGAUAUUUGAAUGCAAAUCCCUCAUCUUUGAAUUUUGACGAAAUGGGGUUAUCCAUCCAGCGGUUUGCCUGCGCUGGAAAGUAUGGUUUCAGGUGAUUGAUUUUAUGCUGCAAAUGUGUAUUUUGCAGUAGCGUGCGGCGCAAAUACUGUUAAAAUCAUUCAUUGGUGUGGUGACUAUACAUUUUCGUGGGGCAGAAACCGGUAUCACGACUUUUUCUGUCUCUUUUUUAUAUAAUUUUGGGCUAACGUUACAUUAAAAUGACAUAUUUACAGGACUGUAUAUUGGCUGUAUGCUUAAUACAUGCCUUAAUUUAGGUGGGAUAUUUUAUAAUUUUCGAUCACAUACUGCUGUUUGGUCAUUUCCCCCUCACGUCCAUAAGCCGACGUUGAGGGUACCCCCUAUUCGUCGCUUGACAACGUAGAGGGUCGUCCGAUAUUUGAAUGCAAAUCCCUCAUCUUUGAAUUUUGACGAAAUGGGGUUAUCCAUCCAGCGGUUUGCCUGCGCUGGAAAGUAUGGUUUCAGGGGAUUAAUUUUAAUGCUGCAAAUUGUGUAUUUUGCAGUAGCGUGCAGCGCAUAUACUGUUACAGUCAUUCAUUGGUGCGGUGAAUAUACAUUUUUGUGGGGCAGAAACCCUUGUCUAAAUCGGUAUCACGACUUUUUCUCUUUUUUAAUAUAAUUUAGGGCUACAUUAAAACGACAUAAUUGCAGAACUGCAUAUUUGCUGUAGCCUUAAAACAUGCCUUAAUUUAGGUGGGAUAUUUUAUAAUUGUCGAUGGUAUUUCAAUUUGCAAUGGCUUAUAAUGAGCCUACAACUUUGCUUUUUUUGCGACAAAAAAAGAAUAGUCUACUUUUAUAGAUCUUUCAUCUCAAUACUGAUUAUGAAGUUGUGAAAAAUUAAAUAGCCUACUGCAGAAAUGUUUAUAUUGCUUAAUAUGGACAUAUCCUUUGGCAAAGAGAUGGAUGCAUUCUGGGAAGUGAUGUGUUUAAAUGUAAUGGCUACAUAUACCCGUGUUUCCUUCUAUUAGACAUUUAUGCUGACCCCUUUAAAAUUUUGAGCAAGGAUAUAAAAUAUUAAGACUGUACUUUUUCAUUAUGAUUGAUAUUUUGGCGCAAUUUUGUGCAACACGUCACUGUGUGCGACCAUCGCAGAAACCAUUGCCCCCUGGAUUCCACCACGGUUCCUUAAUCCCUGUCCUUUUAAAAAAACAGCACCUCAUUACAUCGGGAAAAAAAAGGCACUUUUAAGAGCCACAUUUGUUUUGUUUAUUGUCUUAUUUGUAUUGUUUAUUGUCUUGUUAUCUCUCUCUCUCUCUCUCUCUCACACACUCUCUCUCCAUCCCUCUCUCCCUCUCUCUCUCUCUCUCUCUCUCUCUUUCUCUCACUCUCUUUCCAUCCCUCUCUCCCUCUCUCUCUCCCCUACCAUCUGAGUGGUGGUUGCUUUUUAGAGGGACGGAGGACCUGGGUUGCUGCCUCUUCUUCACUCACUGUAAUCAACUGAAAGUGUAAAGAAUGACAAAGCCAAAAUUCAGGCCUUGCCCAAGCUGCCAAGUCCGUCAGCAGGCCAACCGCAAAACAUGCAGUGCUUGUUUUGCCACACUGCCAAGCAAGCGGUUAUUAAAAACUGCAAAAAUUAAUGAUGACUGGGGCCAGAGGGUCGUCAAAAACAAAAAUGCAUCUCGGGUGGUGGCCUCUGCCCAAAUAGCUGUCCAAAAACUUUCUGCCUUGGGCUAUAUGCCCAUAUUAUUUAUCAGCCAGAGGCACAAGGGCACAGGCAAGUUGAUGGCAGAUGUAGUCACGCAUCUGCCACCGACGCAAAACAACACACGUUUCUUAACCAGCAUGAAGAGGGCAUAUGACUUCAUAAUCAAACUGGAUGAUGUGCCCCAGCCCCAGCCCCAGCAAGACCAGCCCCUGCCCCUAGACCGGCUAAUCCCACAAGACCAGCCCCUAGACCAGCCCCUGCCCCUAGACCAGCCCCAGCAAGACCAGCCCCUGCCCCUAGACCAGCUAAUCCCACAAGACCAGCCUACCCCAACAGACCAGCAAAUUAUUACACUUGAACUAUUUACGAUCGACUCUCAGGCUCAGCAGCAUGUGGAGCCUCUACCACCCAGGAAAAG